rnacentral:rRNA from 1 species
UCUGGAUGGACCUGCGGUGCAUUAGCUUGUUGGUGGGGUAACGGCCUACCAAGGCGAUGAUGCAUAGCCGAGUUGAGAGACUGAUCGGCCACAAUGGGACUGACACACGGCCCAUACUCCUACGGGAGGCGGCAUUAUGGAAUCUUCCACAAUGGGCGCAGGCCUGAUGGAGCAACACCGCGUGAGUGAAUAAGGGUUUCGGCUCGUAAAGCUCUGUUGUUAAAGAAGAACACGUAUGAGAGUAACUGUUCAUACGUUGACGGUAUUUAACCAGAAAGUCACGGCUAACUACGUGCCAGCAGCCG